GAACCAAUGGUGCAGUGAUAGCACAACAAUCCGGUAAUUUGUCGGGACGGCGGGUUUGAUUCCCCCUUGGUUCC